UACGGGGGGGGCAAGCGUUGUUCGGAAUUACUGGGCGUAAAGGGCUCGUAGGCGGCCAUGUAAGUCGGAUGUGAAAUCCCCAGGCUUAACCUGGGAACUGCAUCCGAUACUGGAUGGCUUGAAUCCGGGAGAGGGAUGCAGAAUUCCAGGUGUAGCGGUGAAAUGCGUAGAUAUCUGGAGGAAUACCGGUGGCGAAGGCGGCAUCCUGGACCGGCAUUGACGCUGAUGAGCGAAAGCUAGGGGAGCAAACGGG
rnacentral:rRNA from 1 species